rnacentral:rRNA from 1 species
AUGGUGUUCCCGGAUUGCAUCAUCGACUCGGCUGGAUUGGGUUUCGCGGUGGGCGCCAUAGGCGGCUCCCCGUACCACUUCAUCAAGGGCCUUUACAGCUCGCCCAAUGGCCGGCGCCUCGCCGCCGGCGCUCAGGCUGUCCGCAUAAGCGCACCCCGCAUUGGCGGUAGUUUUGCCGCCUAUUGCGACCUCAUAGAAGCCUUCCGCUUCGCGAUGGUCUCGCCGCGCAAGAAGGACGACUCCUGGAGCUUCGUCCUUCCCGGGUUCGCCACCGGCAUGUGCCUGCCGGUCGGUCGUGGACCUCGCGCCGUCGGCAUCUCCGCGCUCGCGGGUCUAAGCAGUGCCGCCGCGAUGUACGAGGCACGCUUCUGGGCCAGGCACAUCCGCUAUACUAGACCGUAUGCGCGGCCACCCUUGGAAGAUCCCGGAGUCCCGGACUGA